GGCUGCUGGUCGUUGCUACCUGUGGUGAAGGCAUGCAUCGGGAUGGUGAAAUAACAGGUUUCCACUCUGGGAUUGUCUUCUAGGGCCAACUUUCACCAAUGGAAGUAAAAUUUGUUUUUCCAGCACUCUGGGGGAUUUUGAAGUGAACCAAAAUCUCAUGCAGUCUCAGAACGGUUGUCACCUGCAACUUUAGGCUGUCCGUACCACUGAAUUGGAG
rnacentral:lncRNA from 1 species